rnacentral:rRNA from 1 species
GAGUAAUAUAUCGGAACGUGCCCAAUCGUGGGGGAUAACGCAGCGAAAGCUGUGCUAAUACCGCAUACGAUCUACGGAUGAAAGCGGGGGACUCGCAAGAGCCUCGCGCGAAUGGAGCGGCCGAUAUCAGAUUAGCUAGUUGGCGGGGUAAAAGCCCACCAAGGCGACGAUCUGUAGCUGGUCUGAGAGGACGACCAGCCACACUGGAACUGAGACACGGUCCAGACUCC